rnacentral:rRNA from 1 species
AACGAACGCUGGCGGCAUGCCUAGCACAUGCAAGUCGAACGAAGUCUUCGGACUUAGUGGCGGACGGGUGAGUAACACGUGGGAACGUACCUUUUGGUUCGGAACAACUCAGGGAAACUUGAGCUAAUACCGAAUGUGCCCUUCGGGGAAAGAUUUAUCGCCAUUAGAGCGGCCCGCGUUAGAUUAGCUAGUUGGUGGGG